CGAGGAUUUAUAAGGACACAAACUUCAGUAGAAUGUUUACACCUCAGCCAGGAGAUAUAAUGACAAUAAAGAUAAUGAAGAAGUACCCACAAGGCGAUGCAGUGAUUCUGAAGUCGGGAGGCAGAUUCUCAGUUGUUCAGGUGUUGUUUUAUUUUGUCUUCACAACUUAAAAGUUUUUUGCAUGCAUUCUUUUAUUUCAAAUGUUACAUUAAAAUGGAGGUGGUGAGGCUGGAGAGGUAGGCAGAGAUCAGACUUUGCCAGGACUAAAUGUUAGGCCACAUUAAUAAACGAGUCUUCAUCUUAAGACCAAAUGAAGGUUUUUCACAUGACAAUAAACUUAAAUUUUCAAAGGAUCACCUGGAUGCAGUGAGACAAAAGGUUCUGGCUCUGUGAAGCUGAGUAGAUGAGGAGACACAGUUAAUCAGUAGUCCUGGACUCAGAUGCUAUCACUGGAGAUGGAUGGAAGUGGAUAAAAAUAAGGUCAGGAGGAAUUAGUGGUAGAAGGAGUAUGAGGCAUGAGGUAGCAAGAGGGCUUAAGGAUAAAUCUGAGACAUGGUGCUUAUACAGCGGAUGUGUUGCGGUUGUUCACUAAGAUAGAAAAUGCUGGCAGGGAACCUGGUUCAGUCUCCAGCAUGCUGAACUUGAGGUGCCUUUGAAAUAUCCUAGUGGAGAUUAUCAGGAAGGUAAUCAGAUGUAGAAGUCUGGAGCUCAGAGGAGAAACCUGGCAUGGCAAUCAGAUAGUAGAACAGAAUGGCAAAAAUGCCAAUUUCUAAGGUAAUGUUCUAGCCUAAAACAGUAUUUAAGAAAUGUAAAUUAAGAAAAAUACAUAUUAUGAGAUAUAUAUAUGUAUAUGUAUACAUACACACACAUACACAUAUAAGAUCUCUUAAAUUCAACUCAGUGAUAGCAUUCUACUGUCUUCAUUAUUCCUUCGGUUUUAAAAUAGUGAAACAACAUUCUAAGUGCAAGACAUUAGCAUUAACCAGUAAACAUACUCUCCUUAACCAGUUUAUCAGAUUAGUCAACUAAUAAUAUAUUGGAGGCUGGAAGGAAUAAUGAAAAAAUAUAUUUACAUUUUGUACUCAAGCAACAGGAACUUCAAGUUAUCCUGAGGGACAAAAAUGUCCUCAAGACAAUACUUGGGGCUACAAGGCAGAAUUUAAGAGGAGUUAGUUCAACAAAUGAAUGCAACCAGAAUCUUUUAUAAUAAUAAUAAAUAUAAUAAAGGAGGCAAUAGUUUUAGACAAUGAAAUACAAAAAGAAAUAUAUAAGUAAUAAAUGAAAAAUAUGCUCACUUCUAGCAGCUCAUUUAAUUAAAAUAGUUUAGGUUGCAUUGUUAGUUCAAGGACCACGCUGUCUGCAAACAAUCACAAAACCCACAGGUUAAUAUAUCUUUUGUUUUACUUUAGCAGCUUAAAAGAGUAAUGUGGACAAAAGACUUUGGGUUUUCAUUUUUCAAGAAGCUAAUAAAGGAAAAAUGGAAAAUAAGUUCACCUUGCCUUUUUAAAGAUAAUAUCGUAGGUAAAUAAAAAUUUUAAUAGAGGUUUUCUUAUACAUUUUUAUGAACAAUAAAGAUUUCUUCAGAAGAAAAACAGCUAAAUAACAAGUGGGUGUGUGUGCACGCAUGGGCGUGCGCACAUGUACGCAAGUACAUAAAAAAAGAAAAAUAUUCAUAAAACUAAAACUAAGAAUUGUUCAGAAGUCCCACAGCAAUCAAAUGAUUUGGUCUGUUUAACUUUGCAAGCACUGAAAAAAACUGACAGCUACCAUAACACCAAGCUGUCUCCAUUUUUAAACGGUGAAGGUAAAUUAUUCUGAUGAUUUACACUGUCAUAUAUUUCCUACUACUACAAUCAAUGCAUGAAAGCUUAGCAAACCUCACUUCAUACUGGGAAAUCCUCAAAUGGCAAACCCCACCUUGCACAACUUUAGCCUUUACUCUUAGCUCUAAAUAACUCAAGCAUCCCUUAAUUCUCUGCUCAGUUUUACUGCCCCAAUGAGGCCGGCCCUGUUUGCUCAUUCUCAAGUGGGUAGCUGCCUCUCUCCUAAUACACUGUUCUUUUCCUUAUACCAGUGGUCAACUUAGUAUGUUUAUUUGUUCAAUCUGUCUUCCCAGCACAGUAUAAGCCGCAGAAGGGAAAUAGUCAUGCCUGUUUUAUCUACUAAGAGCAACACAUAUGUUAGGGACUUAGUAAAUAUUUAUUAACUGAAAAUGAAUGAAUCAAUGAUGACUGAGUAGUUGAGUAAAAUAAGUCAGAGAACUAUGAAAAAAUAUAUAUUAUAACGUUCAUUAAAAAGUUCUGUGGGUGCAGACACUGUGAAAAUGAAUGAAAUAUUCCUCUGAGAAUUUCUCAAGGAAUACCUUAUAAUACACCUGUCGAGUGUAAUAAUUUCUUACAUAAGGAAUAUCGCCAGGUUUCAGAGUGCCAUCUACGAAGUCCAUUUGAAUCUUAAGACAAUUCAAAAUGGAAAAUCAGGGGAAAACUCCUUAAAAAAUAAACAUCCCUACUAAACAAAAUGAUUUGCAAACACACACAGAUUCGAUAUCACACAUACAAAAGAAAUAAUAAAUGUGGAAUGAAUAAAUGCCUAAUAUUCCUACAACCCUUUUCUUCACAGUUUUAUUUAUAUAUUUAUUUUUAAUUUUUUUGUCUUUUCGUUGUUUUAGGGCCGCACCCACGGCAUAUGAAGGUUCCCAGGCUAGGAGUCGAGUCAGAGCUAUAGCUGCCAGCCUACCCCACAGCUCACAGCAACGCUGGAUGCUAAACCAACUAAGCCAGGCCAGAGAUUGAACCUGUAUCCUCAUGGAUACUAGUCAGGUUCAUUUCCACUGAGCCACAUUGGGAACUCCUUCUUCACAGUUUUAAAUGUAGACAAAUAACAUGAAUUUACAUACAACACUUCAAUAUAAUUACCAUUUUUGAACUUUGGAGCAGUAUUAGGAUACAGAAUUUUUGCCAGUAUAUUUGCUUCUAUGGACCUAAAAGCAGUUUAGAAUGUUAGGAACAAAGAAUCUUCAAUUUAAAACAUUCACAAACACCAAAAAAAAAACCCAGCUUACACCACAAAAACACACAUUUUCCCCUAAUUAAUUCACCACAGUGAUUCAUUUUUUGUUUGUUUGUUUUUUGGGUUUUUUGUUUGUUUGUUUGUUUUUGCUUUUUAGAGCCGAACCCAAAGCAUAUAGAGAUUUCCAGGCUAGGGGUCAAAUCAGAGGUACAGCUGCUGACCUCAGCCACAGCUAGAGCAACAGCAACUGGGAGUGGGGAGGGCACUAAGGCCAUCCCAGCUGCUGUGUCUGCAACUUACACCACUGCUCACAGCAAGAUCAGAUCGCCCAUCCACUGAGCAAGGCCAGGGAUUUAACCAGCAUCCUUAGGGAUAUUAGUUGGAUUCCAUGGGAGUUCCUGGAGGGGGGCAGAAUUUUUAUUACAAAGAACAAUCACUUAGUUACAUAUGAAUGCAGGAGCCAUCACCCUGGGAGACCACAGUUCAGUGGGAAAGCAACACAGCACAGCAGAGAUGGCCUGGAAAGGCAGGUUUCGAAGUCGGCCCCAACUCUCUUGGAGAUGAUCACCUGUCCAAACCAACUCAUUUCUUUCUCCCUCCCUCUUCCUUUUUCUUCUUCUCCUGCCUGUGAUUUAUGGCUUUCAAACUAUAUAUCAGAGCCUUAGAUAUGGCAAACACUCAAUAACUUAAUAUUAUAAGAACCAGGAGGAAUGGAGAGGCAGGAAAGCACUACAUGCAAGCUUGUAGGGAAAGAUAAAACAGGCAGGGGUGAAUUCCAGGGUCAGUCUAGGAACAGAAUUCCGGCAGCUGAUGUCUUUUAAGCCCCCAUCCCAAAUGACCUAAAAGUAGGAUUUAGGUGAUAAAGAUCUCUUAGAAGGUAAAAUAUCCAUGUAAAAAAAUAGCUUUUAAGAUAUAAGCUGAGAUGAAAGCCGACCCAAUAAAGACAUGUUACAUAAAAAAAUUAUUCUAAUGUGGUAGGUAGAAAAAAUCAAGGUUCUGCAAUCAGACAGACCUAGUUUGAGUCCAAAUUUUGCCACUUAUGAGCUGAAUGACCUUAAUGAAGUUCUUUACAUUCUCUGAGUUUUAAUUUUCACCUUUACAACAACCUUUCAGAAUUAUUCUGAAAAUUAAAUGGGAAUCUGUGUAAUGUGCCUGCCAUAAUUACAAUAACUAGAGCUUUCAUGAUCAGAGUGAAGGAGGCAGAGAGAAGAUCAAGAGGUCCACCCCCCGCAGCUGAAGAAGAUGGAUCAAGCUGGUUGUCACUUUGCCCAAAGCAGCAACAGCCCUUCUAGUGCCUCAGCCUCAGAACAUCCUCCUCAUAUGCAAAUCUGGACUCAGUCCAGGUCUCUGCCAAUUGGAAUUUCAAUGACUGGUUCAAGUCCACGUUAAAUUCAACAUUAGCCAAUAGCCAAUUUGCGAUCCAAGCUACAGCUGUGAGUGAAAACUACCUCCUGUCCCUGAAACCACCUCCCUCCUUUAUUUUCUUUACACAAAUAGACUUUAUUAUGUAUGGCAUUCAGGAUGAUCAGACCUCGAGCCAACAUUCAAUAUCCUAGGCACUAAUUUCAACAAGGCCUAAUUUAUGCAAAUUAAACACUAAACCACUUUCCACUGUUAAUUUUCACAGACGUUUAAUACCAUUUGAAUGUAAGGUUCUGACACUUAAUGACAAGACAAAGACAAAUUGUGUAAGAAUGAUCAACACCUUCUUGGUUAAAUCUACUAUAUUUAUCAAAAUCUGGAAAACAAAAAUAACACUCUCUCUUAAGGCAAAGGUUCUAAAAUUAGGUCUAGAUGAUUAUAGUUGAAAACAGACCACUCAGGACACAACGUAUCAACCUGGUAAGACCAACUCUUUUUGUAAUCUUUCUCUCUGAUGAGCCUCUAUGAAAUUCAGAAAACUUUAUCUUCCACAUUUUCAACUGCUUAUUUUCUUACUGCCAAGUACCAUCAAUUUGGCAAGUAGCUGAGAGCAGUAAUCACUGGAGAAAGUGUAGGAGAAAAAAAAAAAAUGAGCCAAAUCAAGUGAUUUUGUUUCGAUAGUCUAUUUAAUCUGCACAAUGAGUCAGCCCACAUGUUCCUACAAAUAUAAUUAAGUAUAUUUUGUAAUUUUUGCUUAAAAAAGAGGUCUUGCCUAUAAUAAAACACUUUGUGUCCUCAAGGAGGAGUGGGAGAAGCAGUUGCUAAGGUAGGAGUUUGGGAUUAGCACCUUAUUUUCACAAUAAUGAAUGUUUUGACUUCAACAAUGAAUAGAUUUCCUUAUAAUACAAUCAAAAUUCAAUUUGAAUAAAAUUUUGGUAGCAGCUUCUAAGGAAACAAGAUAUAUCAAAAACAUAGAAUGCUUCCUUAAGGACACACAGUUACUGCUAUGUUUCCAUGUCUUCUGGUCCAAAAUCAAUGCCACACUAGGCCAUAAGGAACACCUGCUUGCCAGUUGCACUUACACUGAAACUCAUCAUUUAAAAUCUAUUCUUCUAGAAAGAGCAAUGUAAUAACUUGACUUACUUAAGUUCGUUAUUUGAUUCAGAUAUAUAGUCUAACCACGGUUUGGACAGCAUUUAACACAUAGGGGGAAAGGCUGUUUGAUUAGAAUUACAGAUGUUUACAACAUGGCCAAUUUUUAAAGGAAGGACAGAAACUACAGUCAAUUAUUAGAUACAGAGUCACACCUGUUGUCUGUCAUGUUUCAAACCCCUAGGUGUGAGAUUUAGUCAAGGCAAAUGAAAAUGAGGAAGGAUCAGCUGCAAAGCAUGAUUUUCUUCUCCUCCGGUAAUUAAAAGGAAAAAGUGCACAAUGUGUUGUCUCUAUGACAAUCCCAUUAUUUCAUGUCAGGGGCAGCUCCAUUUUCUUUUAACAUAUUUGUGUUGCUGUCAAGUCUGUUGUAAAGGCUAGCGCUCACAGGUCUAGGCUAUGGACGUAAUUUACAGUACUGAUAGUCACUCCAAUUAGCUUUGCUAAAUUUCUCCCUGAAGCGUGCUGCUUUGAUGUCAGAAGAAUUAAACAUCAUCAUUCCCAUUCCAGCUCCCACUCCUAAGUCUCUGCCACAAUGAACUGCUUAUCAGCAUCACAUUAGACGUCAGACACACUCGCACCUUAUGUUUUAUAAACACUAAAUGCUUUUAAAAUGUAACCCAUGAGCCCCUAAAAUACCUGUGGUACAAUAACAAUAACUGCGCAUAUCUGGCACAGGUCAAUUCUAUAGCGUGAUGUGCACAUUCUUGCCUAAAACAUUAAAGUAACAAUAUCUUAUGUUUUUGUGUUUUAAUUAGACAAACAUCUAAUUCAUAUUUGUAUCUUAUUUUCUAAAAACUAUGAAUUUAAUAUGCUUUUGAACACUACCAAUGAAAGUAUAUUCAUCUACAAUAUCUGUUAAUAUACUUUAAGUCUCCACAGGUGUGCCUUGUUUGAGGAAAAUAAACAAUAAUUCCAAUUUAUAAAUAGAUCUUUGCAAAAAAGAGGCCACAUUAAACACAUUCAGCACUGUUUUCUGUUAUGUAUCAAAUUGAAAAUAAUGAUCGACUCUAUAAAAACUAUCUCUACGCAAGACACUGAAUAGAAGGCGAAGAUGAAAUACAUAAACUUUGGAGCUAGACAGACACAGAUGUAAAUUCUGGCUCUACAACUUACGAGCUGUGUGAUUUGAGGGUAAGUCAUUUAACAGUUUUAAGUGUUAAGUUUCUCAUCUGUAAAAAUGGAGAUAGUAUUUCAAGUUAAAUAACAGGUGUAAAGUGUCUAGAAAAAAAUGUAUAAAAAUUAAUGCCAACUUAGUCUACUUACAUGAAAUGAUCCUUACCAACAGAGUAUAACUGACUACAGCAGAAUUUAUGAAUCAAGGAAGCAAACUGCUACUUAUUAUGGCAGUUCUAGUUAAAGACCAAGGUCUAGUCAAAUGUAUACUCUUUUACUUUUAUCUUUAUAUAUAAGUACAAAGUGCAUACUAUAUUUAUCUAAAUCUAUACACACGCAGAUACAUGUAUACACAUAUAUACACACACAUAUAUCUUUUCCACGAAGGAGAAAACUGUAAUAUUUUCUAUGUCUCCAGAUGAUUUAUGGAACCAAAUAACUUGAAACAAAAUAAAUACCCUUUAGUGGAGACAAAAAAAUUGUUACGGUCAAUGAAAAGAGGCAUUUGCAAAUAUCGCUUAGGUAUCUGAAGCCUGUGGCAAAAAUGUAUUAAAUUUUAAAGUGUCUUCAUAUUUUAUAUGGAAAGUAUGCUGCAUCUGACCCAACCAUGAAACAUGCCCUUAACCAGUCUAUGAAAUAAGUUUUCUUUCCAGAUCAUGAAGAAGUAUUCACUGAGAGUGUUGUGUGUUGUAGAACUGCUGUUUUUUUAAAGUGGAGGCUAAAGGGAAAAGAAUAAUUCAGAAAAUAGAAUAUUUGUUUUCCCUACCAUAAACUUUUGCUGAACACACUUUAGGGAAAUAGAGACCACAAAAUAGAGCAAGAGGAGGACAGGUGUAUGUUGCUCAGCUCCCACUCAGAUCAGCAAUAAAUCAAUCC
rnacentral:lncRNA from 1 species